rnacentral:rRNA from 1 species
AUUGAACGCUGGCGGCAGGCUUAACACACGCAAGUCGAGCGGGGGGAGGUAGCUUGCUACUGGACCUAGCGGCGGACGGGUGAGUAAUGCUUAGGAAUCUGCCUAUUAGUGGGGGACAACAUCUCGAAAGGGAUGCUAAUACCGCAUACGUCCUACGGGAGAAAGCAGGGGAUCUUCGGACCUUGCGCUAAUAGAUGAGCCUAAGUCGGAUUAGCUAGUUGGUGGGGUAAAGGCCUACCAAGGCGACGAUCUGUAGCGGGUCUGAGAGGAUGAUCCGCCACACUGGGGCUGAGACACGGCCCAGACUCCUACGGGAGGCAGCAGUGGGGAAUAUUGGACAAUGGGGGGAACCCUGAUCCAGCCAUGCCGCGUGUGUGAAGAAGGCCUUAUGGUUGUAAAGCACUUUAAGCGAGGAGGAGGCUACUCUAGUUAAUACCUAGGGAUAGUGGACGUUACUCGCAGAAUAAGCACCGGCUAACUCUGUGCCAGCCGCCGCGGUAA